rnacentral:rRNA from 1 species
GCAACGAGCGCAACCCUUGUCCCGUGUUGCCAGCAGGCCCUUGUGGUGCUGGGGACUCACGGGAGACCGCCGGGGUCAACUCGGAGGAAGGUGGGGACGACGUCAAGUCAUCAUGCCCCUUAUGUCU